GGUCACAUCAUGUUGAAACACCGGUCCUCGUGCGAUCACCGAAGUUAAGCAACGUUUAUCUUGGUCAGUACCUAGAUUGGUAACCGCUUGGGAAUAUCAAGUGCUGUCAG